rnacentral:rRNA from 1 species
CAUCUAAGUGUGAAACCCACCUCAAGAUGAGAUUUCCCAUGAUUUUAUAUCAGUAAGCGCCCUGAGAGAUGAUCAGGUAGAUAGGUUAGAAGUGGAAGUGUGGCGACACAUGUAGCGGACUAAUACUAAUAGCUCGAGGACUUAUCCAAA